AGAGUUUGAUCUUGGCUCAGGAUGAACGCUGGCGGCGUGCCUAAUACAUGCAAGUCGAACGAACUUCCGUUAAUUGAUUAUGACGUACUUGUACUGAUUGAGAUUUUAACACGAAGUGAGUGGCGAACGGGUGAGUAACACGUGGGUAACCUGCCCAGAAGUAGGGGAUAACACCUGGAAACAGAUGCUAAUACCGUAUAACAGAGAAAACCGCAUGGUUUUCUUUUAAAAGAUGGCUCUGCUAUCACUUCUGGAUGGACCCGCGGCGUAUUAGCUAGUUGGUGAGGUAAAGGCUCACCAAGGCAGUGAUACGUAGCCGACCUGAGAGGGUAAUCGGCCACAUUGGGACUGAGACACGGCCCAGACUCCUACGGGAGGCAGCAGUAGGGAAUCUUCCACAAUGGACGCAAGUCUGAUGGAGCAACGCCGCGUGAGUGAAGAAGGGUUUCGGCUCGUAAAGCUCUGUUGUUAAAGAAGAACGUGGGUAAGAGUAACUGUUUACCCAGUGACGGUAUUUAACCAGAAAGCCACGGCUAACUACGUGCCAGCAGCCGCGGUAAUACGUAGGUGGCAAGCGUUAUCCGGAUUUAUUGGGCGUAAAGCGAGCGCAGGCGGUCUUUUAAGUCUAAUGUGAAAGCCUUCGGCUCAACCGAAGAAGUGCAUUGGAAACUGGGAGACUUGAGUGCAGAAGAGGACAGUGGAACUCCAUGUGUAGCGGUGAAAUGCGUAGAUAUAUGGAAGAACACCAGUGGCGAAGGCGGCUGUCUGGUCUGCAACUGACGCUGAGGCUCGAAAGCAUGGGUAGCGAACAGGAUUAGAUACCCUGGUAGUCCAUGCCGUAAACGAUGAUUACUAAGUGUUGGAGGGUUUCCGCCCUUCAGUGCUGCAGCUAACGCAUUAAGUAAUCCGCCUGGGGAGUACGACCGCAAGGUUGAAACUCAAAAGAAUUGACGGGGGCCCGCACAAGCGGUGGAGCAUGUGGUUUAAUUCGAAGCUACGCGAAGAACCUUACCAGGUCUUGACAUCUUCUGACAGUCUAAGAGAUUAGAGGUUCCCUUCGGGGACAGAAUGACAGGUGGUGCAUGGUUGUCGUCAGCUCGUGUCGUGAGAUGUUGGGUUAAGUCCCGCAACGAGCGCAACCCUUAUUACUAGUUGCCAGCAUUAAGUUGGGCACUCUAGUGAGACUGCCGGUGACA
rnacentral:rRNA from 1 species